rnacentral:rRNA from 1 species
AUUGAACGCUGGCGGCAGGCCUAACACAUGCAAGUCGAACGAGUGGCGGACGGGUGAGUAAUGUCUGGGAAACUGCCUGAUGGAGGGGGGUAACUACUGGAAACGGUAGCUAAUACCGCAUACCAUCGGAUGUGCCCAGAUGGGAUUAGCUAGUGGGUGGGGUAAAGGCUCACCUAGGCGACGAUCCCUAGCUGGUCUGAGAGGAUGACCAGCAACAGGGGAACUGAUCCACGGUUCAGACUCAUACGGGAGGCAGCAGUGGGGAUGAUUGCACAAUGGCCGCAAGUCUGAUAUAGCCAUGCCGGGGGUAUGAAGAAGGCCUUCGGUUUGUAAAGCACUGUCAGCGGGGAGGCGUUAUCCGCAGAAGAAGCACCGGCUAACUCCGUGCCAGCAGCCGCGGUAAUAC